UGGCAUAACCUUGACUAAUAAACUGAAAUUGAAUGUUGUUUGACUUGAUUCUGAAACUUGACUCCUCCGUGAUAUUGUCUUAUUCUUCCAUAUAUAGUUACUUAGUGACACUCCAUCUUCAUCCCCAAAUCGUAUGUAUCUCCAUGGUGGUUUCCAUGAAGGUUUUUUUUCAAAGCACAUCUGAAUGUCUCCAAAGUAUGAGAUUUUGACGCCUUGGAUUUGAUGGCCUUCCAACUAUGAAGAAUCGAUUGGCCUCAGCGGUUUUAUUGACCAUCGGAAUUUGUGAUAAUGGUUGUGAGGACACCAAAUCAUGAUAUGGCCAUUUUGAUUUGUAGAUAUGUGAAAACAAGAGUGCAUCACAUCGAAUCAUGGGCUUUGAUGUGGGGAUGACCGUCGAAGAAUGCAAAGAUGUCCCAAGAAGAUCACAUCACCAACGAGAGUAAUAGCAACCAUCACCAUAAAGGUGAAGAAAAUUCUAAAAAAGAGAAUAGAUCUGAAAAUAAUUUGACAGAGUAAAAAGUUUUCUAUCAUAAUUACUAAAAUCAUGAUAAAAAAUAAAUUAAACAACAAAAUGGUACUACCGGCAAUCGCCGGCAGUCCAGAAAACACACAAAAAACUGCUUUUUUC
rnacentral:lncRNA from 1 species